rnacentral:lncRNA from 1 species
GACAGAGAAGAGGGGAAGCAGGCUCCCCGCUGAGCAGAGAGCCUGAUACAGGGCUUGAUCCCUGGACCCUGGGAUCAUGACCUGAGCCAAAGGCAGAGGCUUUAACCCACUGAGCCACCCAGGCACCCCACGAUGUCCUCCCUUUUUAAGGCCAGAAAGAAAGUGAGUCUGGACAUGGGGAGAGGCAAACACAGCGGACAGACGGGGAACCCUGGAGCUGAGUCCCACCUUCCUGUUGUUUUUAAGGUUUGGUCACACCAUGUCCUUCCCAAACCUCGGUUGUCCACCUCUCCUUUGGAUUCUAUAAACCAGUAAAU